CCUACGGGAGGCAGCAGUGAGGAAUAUUGGUCAAUGGGCGAGAGCCUGAACCAGCCAAGUCGCGUGAGGGAGUACUGCCCUAUGGGUUGUAAACCUCUUUUGUCGGGGAGCAAAAGCCGGACGUGUCCGGCUGUGAGAGUACCCGAAGAAAAAGCAUCGGCUAACUCCGUGCCAGCAGCCGCGGUAAUACGGAGGAUGCGAGCGUUAUCCGGAUUUAUUGGGUGUAAAGGGUGCGCAGGCGGAUUUUUAAGUCAGCGGUCAAAUCGUGGGGCUCAACCCCAUCCAGCCGUGGAAACUGGGGAUCUAGAGUGUGCGAGAGGUAUGCGGAAUGCGUGGUGUAGCGGUGAAAUGCAUAGAUAUCACGCAGAACCCCGAUUGCGAAGGCAGCAGACCGGUGCACAACUGACGCUCAGGCACGAAAGCGUGGGUAUCAAACAGGAUUAGAUACCCGAGUAGUC
rnacentral:rRNA from 1 species